rnacentral:rRNA from 1 species
UACGUAGGGUGCGAGCGUUAAUCGGAAUUACUGGGCGUAAAGCGUGCGCAGGCGGUGAGCUGUGUCCGAUGUGAAAGCCCCGGGCUUAACCUGGGAAUGGCAUUGGAAACUGGCUCGCUGGAGUGUGGCAGAGGGGGUGGAAUUCCGCGUGUAGCAGUGAAAUGCGUAGAGAUGCGGAGGAACACCGAUGGCGAAGGCAGCCCCCUGGGCUAACACUGACGCCUCAGGCACGAAAGCGUGGGGAGCAAACAGG